rnacentral:lncRNA from 1 species
UUGUUCCAUUUUAGGUAUUUAAAUAAUAGACUCAGGAAGCCUUCACUAACCUCUGAGGCUGCAUCAGAUCUUCCUGCGAACCAUUUGUACAGAAGUGUGGCUUUCAUUUAUAACAAUCAUGUAGCACAUGAUCACAUGUUUGUUUAUUUGGUUGAUUUCUGUUUCCCCAACACAGGAGACUGAAGUCUGUAUCUGAUAUGGUUCAUUGUUCCACAGUCUGAAUGAAGCACAGUGCUGUGUCAAUACUUAGAAAAAUCAUCCUGUUAUGAAGGAUGGGGAUAAGGAUAUGUUUUACUUCCAUCAACAUCAAAGCUGCAGAACUAUUCAAGUCUUUGAAUGAUUACCUAACAGGAAAACUGAAUUGGUUGUUUCGGCUCAGUAUACACAUGGAUGGAGCAGCUGCCAUGCCUGGAUGCCUUUCUGGUUUCACUACUUGCGCCAAACAGGGGAGAUUGACAACUGUGUUCAAGUCUGCAGAUAACGUGGAUGCAUUCAAAGCCAAACUGAAAUUGUGGAUGUGCUCUGUGGAAAGAAUCCUCUACAUCUAUCAAGUCUCAGCUACACUGUUUCUUUCUCAAUGGAGCUCCCAAAAUACGUCUGCAGGACUCUGUUGCCUUAGGAGUUAAUCUCACCUUUGUCUUUCUGUAAUUCCUCCCAUGUAGAGUUUGAAUAUGGCCAUAGUUUCAGCUCUAGCAAUGCUUUAUAAAAUCACUCAGCAUUCUUUUAAAUGCAGAGUUAAAGUUAUAGAAAAGAAAUGGUAAUUGAUAUGUGCUAGAAAUUAAAAUGUUUCUGGAAUCCAAUAAGGAUGGGAUCUAAUCCUUCAGGGGUCUCUGUGAGUGGGAGGAGAUUGCACAUCUCAACAAACUGAGGGUGUUUUAACUAGGGUGAGUUUUAACACCUGUGUGCAGAAGGCAAGUGAGGUAUCCCUUGCAGGAGGCAGCAGUGAGAACUAAAAUCCCUGUACAAAGCAGUGCAGGUGCAAGGUAGAUGAAGGAGUGGCCCAGACAAAAUGUGCCUCUGACACAGACACAUGCAGACAGCAAGACAACUGACUGCUGCUUCAUGGACCGUUUGUAGAAAAAAUGAGUUGUCACACUGUGAUAACUCAUGCCCAUGGUUCCGUCACCACAGGUAUUCUGGUUUAGAUCUGAAAUGUCCCCCCAAAAUGUUUCAUGUGUGUGAAAGGUGAUGGAGUACUAAUCAGCCAUAAAGAAUGAGAAACUAGAGACAUAUAUAGCUAAAUGGAUGCAUAUUGAGGCCAAACUCUUAAGUGAAAUAAAUACAGUACACAUGUGUAAAUACCGAAUAGUUUCUCUGGUGUGAGAAACUGAAAGUGUCAAUAAGGAUUAAAAUUAUUAAAACGAAUAAUUGAUAAUUUGAAAUAGGAAGAAAAGGUCCAAAGGGGUAGGGAAAGUUGGAGGGCAAGGGGAAAGGUAAGAAGGGAAAGGAAAAAUUAUGAGAAAAGGAAAAAAUGGAAAUAAAGUGUUUGUAAAUAGGGAAGGAUGGAGGGGGUGAAGGGAGGACAGGGAAUGGGGGAAAAAAUAACCAAGAUACAUCUUGUACAGGUACAAGCACCCAAUGAUAAAUGUAAACAUAUUGUAUACCUAAAAUGUACCAAUAAAAUAAUUUAAGCAAAAAAAAAAUUUCAAAAACAAAAAGCCAAACACUCAAAAAAACCCCCCAAAACGGUGACUGGAUCAUGGGCUGCUAUACUCACCAGUGUAUUCAUACUGUUGAUGAAUUCAUGGCUGAAUGUGCUGUUAGGAGGUGGGGUCAGGUUGGAGGUGGGUCAUGGGAGGUGUGACCUGGAGGGAUGUAUUCUUGUCCACUGCUCCUCCAUUUUCUCUCUGCUUCCUGGUUGUCAUGGAAUGAGCAGCUGUUCUCUGCCAGGCGCUUCUACUAUAAUGUCCCUUCAGCCUAGGAAAUGGCCAACAAUUGAGUAAAUCCUGUAAAAAUCAUGAGACAAAAAUAAACUUCUCCUCCUUUAAGCUUUGGGUGCUUGGCAUUGUGCUCUAGUGAUGGGUAAGUGACUAACACAAUAAAUUUGAGGCUCUAAUUUUUACUGUUGGUUGAUUGAGGGACCCUUAAGGGAAGAAGGAUCUUAAAUCUUUAUGUGAAAGGAAUCAUUAACAACUAAUUUGAAAGAUUUAAUGAUUAAGAAAACAAUUCUACAGAACUAUAAUUCAACAAAAUAAUUUAUAAAGAAAUAGAAAAUUCCUAUAAAAAGAGGUGAAGCAGUUAAUAGAAGUUUAGCCAGUUGCCUUAAAUGCUAAUGAGAAAUAGAUUCAUACCAUUUACUGACAUCAUCUUCAAAACCUGUGUAUGAGGUAUAGGUAAUCCUUAUGCAAAUAUUUUCAUAGAAUUAGAAAAGAAGGAAAAAUCUCAAUUAAUUUUAUAAGAUUAUUAUAACUUUGAUUCCAAAACCAGGCAAAGGCAAUGUGAAAAAGAAAAACUACAUGUAACUAAUGGUCAAGGAGGCAAAAAUUCUAAUUGAACUCAGCAAAGUGAACCUAGGCAAGAAGGAAGGAGAGAGAGAGAGAGAGAGAGAGAGAGAGAGAGAGAGAGAGAGAGAGAGAACAAAGAGAUGGGAAGGGAGAAAACAUCUUUCAAAACAGCCACAUCAUAGUAUGUAGACUUCUUCCAAGAAUGUAGGGGUAGUCUUAUUUGAAAAAAAUGUAACUGAAAAUCUUUUAAAACAAAUAGAAGGGCUGGGGAUUUAGCUCAGUGGUUCUGCUGCCUGCCUUGCAAGCACAAGGACCUAAGUUUGAUCCCUGGUACCAAACAAAACAAAACAAAACAAAACAAACAAAUAGAAGGAAAUGUUUCUUAAAUAAAAAUGGCAUCAACUAAAUACUGGCAAUAUUCAUUGGAUUUAAUGUAGAAGUUUAACAUAAAAGAGAGAAAAAGUCAUAAAAUUUAA